CUGACAAUGGGGAGAACAUCCCUGCAGACACCCAGACACCCAGACAGGUCUGCAGUGAGCUGUUCCUGCUGGCUGACAAUGGGGAGAACAUCCCUGGAGUGACCCAGGGAGGUCUGCAGUGAGCUGUUCCUGCUGGCUGACAAUGGAGAGAACAUCCCUGCAGACACCCAGGGAGGUCUGCAGUGCCCAGCAGCCCUCAGCUACACUGUGAGCAGCAAGGAACCAGAGCAGGUGGGAGCCCCAGCACUCCCUCCCCUCUCU